GUGCUCGCUUCGGCAGUACAUACACCAAAAUUGGAACGACACAGAGAAGAUUAACAUGGCCCCUGCGCAAGGAUGACACAAAAAUUUUAAAUUAAAGAAAAAAGAAA
rnacentral:snRNA from 1 species